rnacentral:rRNA from 1 species
AUGGCGGACGGCGACCAGAACCAGCAGCCGCCGCGCUACUGGUUCCCGUACUGGAGCGGGGCGCCGCCCGCGGUGCGCCCGCAGGUGUCGCGCCGGCUGUCCCCGACUACAGCGCCGUCCUCGCCACGCCGCCCGUCUCCUUCCCACCCCCGCCAACCGACUGCACCGGCGACCAGGGGCGCCGCUCCUCCGACUCCUCCUCAUGCGUCCUCCCGGCCGUCCCCGUCCCGGGCCUCGCCGCUCGCGCCCAUCCGUGAGCUGCCUCCCCAGUCCAACACCAACUCGAACGCCGCCGCGCCGGCCAGGCCGCCUCCUAAGCCGGUCGCCCUGCCCGCCACGCCCAAAACCAAGGACGUCGACGUCGUCCCGCAGCCGGAGAAAACCGCCGUGCACCCGACUGCUGCGGCUGAGACCAAGCACGGCAAGGGCGACGAACACCACCACAAGGAGGCCGACAAGGAGAAGAAGGAUGAGCACAAGAGCAAAGACAAGAAGAACCACGCCGGCGAAGACAGCAAACACGGGAAGGGCAAAGAGAAGAAGAACAAUGCCGACGCCGGCGAGGAGAGCAAGCACAAGGAGAAAGACAAGGAGAAGAAGCACCAUGCCGACGCCGGUGAGGAGGGCAAGCACGGAAAGGAGGCCAAGGCAGAGCACGGGAAGCUGCACGGAGAGAUCAAGGCGGGCGUGGCCGACAUGGUGCGCAGGGCCACUGGCGCCGGACACGGGCAGGGGCACCCGGUGGCGAGCGUGAUCACGCUGGCGGGGGAGAACAAGGGCGCGUCCAUGAAGGUGGGCGGCAAGAGCAAGGACGGCUCGUGGAAGGAGCACCACGGCGGCCACCGGCUGGACGGCGGCACGGUGGACGGGAAGACGGACGGCCAGAAGAAGCAGGGGAUGAUGACGGCGCUGAUCAACAGCAACGUGCAGGUGAUCAACAACUCGCUGCUGCUGCAGAGCUCUUGCAGCGGCGGCGAUCCCGGCGUGCACCUCAAGCUCUCCGCCAAGUCCGCCAAGAAAGACAAGCAGAAGCACGCCGCCGGCCCCGACAAGAGCGACAAAGCUGCUGGAAAGAAAUUAGCACCGGCUCAGGGGCAUGCCGGCCACUUGCAUCGGCGCUAG